rnacentral:misc_RNA from 1 species
GUUUCUCGUGCUUUUGGAGACAAGAGCCUCAAAUCACAUUUGCGAUCUGACCCUGACAUACAAGACACCAUCAUAGAUAGUAAUACAGAUUUCUUAGUCCUUGCAAGUGAUGGCCUUUGGAAGGUGGUGUCAAAUCAAGAAGCUGUUGAUAUCGCAAGAAGGAUUAAAGACCCAUUAAAAGCAGCUAAGCAGUUAAAAACUGAGGCAUUGAAAAGAGACAGUAAAGAUGAUAUAUCUUGUGUGGUUGUUAGAUUUAGGGCGUAAAGCCUACUGAACAGUAUCUGCUCCUGAUGCUGCGUCCUUAUACGAGAG